ensembl:snoRNA
GUCCUUUUGUAGUUCAUAAGGGUGAUGACUGUGUUUUCAUGCUCAUGUGUGAGACAUGUCUCCCUCAGACCUUGUUAUGAUGUUGGCACGUUGCCCAUCUGAUG